GCACUGAAUGGAUUAAAUAUUCUUUAUUUAUUUAUACAUUUAUUAUAAAUACUUUUAAGUCCAUCUUAUAGAAAAUUUUAAACUUUCUAACUGAAAUAAAUAAUUAUUGUAACUCGCCUUAUUUCUUAUUUAUUGGCUGCACUUUGAUUUGUAUUGAAAUUUAAAAUAAGAUUUUAAAUUUACCUUAGGUAAGUUCACGACAACGGUAUACAAGCUUUGUAGAUAAGUAUUAUAUUCUUGGUGGUUAUCAAUUACAUGGUAAGUUCCCCUAAAAUACUACAUUCAGCCGCCAUAAUAUUUAAGUUUGGGCUUAAUAUAGAGCAUUAAUUCUUGUUUAAAAUAUAUUUAUCUCCUUAUAGUUGGGUCUCUAAUCCAGGUUUAAUUUUUGGAGGUUAUUAUAGUAUUAAUACAGUUAGUUUACAAAAACAAUAGUAUUUCACUACAUAUUAAAAUUUUGUGUAUUUAAUUAAUUUUAAACUACUUCUAUAAAUUUAUCUAAUAGGUAUGACCGCGGUUGCUGGCACCUAAUAAACCUAGGUUAUAUAAUUAUCUAAAUUUAAAUUUCUUUAAUGGUUUAAAACUUUUAACUGGAGGAGUGUUCACAUUCCAUAUUAAAUUAGACUAUUGACUUAUAGAUCCAUCAUAUUAAAGUGGUAAGUCUAAGGGGGUUAUAUACCAUUUUAGA
rnacentral:rRNA from 1 species